rnacentral:rRNA from 1 species
ACACUGACGUCGCGACGCAUAUCAAUAAGCGGAGGAAAAGAAACUAACAAGGAUUCCCUUAGUAACGGCGAGUGAAGCGGGAAGAGCUCAAAUUUGAAAUCUUCAAGGUUCUACCUUGACGAAUUGUAGUUUAAAGAAGUGUUUUCUGUUAGUGGAGUGGCAAAAGUUCUUUGGAAUAGGACAUCAUAGAGGGUGAGAAUCCCGUAUUUGGUCAUUCCUUCUAGCUUUGUGAUACACUUUCAAAGAGUUGGAUUGUUGGGGAAUGCAGUCCAAAAUGGGUGGUAAAUUUCAUCUAAAGCUAAAUAUUGGCGAGAGACCGAUAGCGAACAAGUACCGUGAGGGAAAGAUGAAAAGAACUUUGAAAAGAGAGUUAAACAGUACGUGAAAUUGUCAAAAGGGAAGCGUUUGACACCAGUGUUGUUUUUCCGAAAAUCAAUUAUAAAUGUUUUGUUUCUGAGGAGUGAUGACUUCAUCGGCUUCCUUCUCUCUUCACGAAACUUUUGUAAUGCACUUUUCGGUUAACAAGUCAACAUCAAUUUCUUUUGUUGUAAAAGAGUAUUCGGAAGGUGGCUUUCUUUUCGGAGAAAGUGUUUAUAGCCCUAUACUUCUACAAUCGGAGAGAUUGAGGUCUGCAGCGUAGAUCCUUCGGGGUUAGAUACACUUGUGCUAAGUUAUAGCUUUUCAUAGACAACUUGUUGACUAUGUCUAGUCUUGUAGCUUACUCGCUUGUGCUAUUUUACCUACGCUUAGGAUGUUGAGUCGUAGAGCACGCAGA